rnacentral:rRNA from 1 species
UGAGUAACGCGUGGGUAACCUGCCCUUAAGUCUGGGAUACCAUUUGGAAACAGAUGCUAAUACCGGAUAAAAGCUACUUUCGCAUGAAAGAAGUUUAAAAGGCGGCGUAAGCUGUCGCUAAAGGAUGGACCUGCGAUGCAUUAGCUAGUUGGUAAGGUAACGGCUUACCAAGGCGAUGAUGCAUAGCCGAGUUGAGAGACUGAUCGGCCACACUGGGACUGAGACACGGCCCAAACUCCUACGGGAGGCAGCAGAA